GUGGGGGAUAUUGGUCAAUGGGGGAAACCCUGAACCAGCAAUGCCGCGUGAGGGAAGAAGGUCUUCGGAUUGUAAACCUAAGUAGUCAGGGACGAAAAAAAUGACGGUACCUGAAGAGUAAGCUCCGGCUAACUACGUGCCAGCAGCCGCGGUAAUACGUAGGGAGCGAGCGUUGUCCGGAUUUACUGGGUGUAAAGGGUGCGUAGGCGGGUCGGCAAGUCAGAUGUGAAAUACCGGGGCUUAACUCCGGGGCUGCAUUUGAAACUGUUGAUCUUGAGUGAAGUAGAGGCAGGCGGAAUUCCUAGUGUAGCGGUGGAAUGCGUAGAUAUUAGGAGGAACACCAGUGGCGAAGGCGGCCUGCUGGGCUUUAACUGACGCUGAGGCACGAAAGCAUGGGGAGCAAACAGGAUUAGAAACCCCUGUAGUCC
rnacentral:rRNA from 1 species